UACGAAGGGGGCUAGCGUUGUUCGGAAUUACUGGGCGUAAAGCGCGCGCAGGCGGCCAUUCAAGUCAGGGGUGAAAGCCCAGAGCUCAACUCUGGAACUGCCCUUGAAACUGUACGGCUUGAGGCCGGGAGGGGGUAGCGGAAUUCCCAGUGUAGCGGUGAAAUGCGUAGAUACUGGGAGGAACACCAGUGGCGAAGGCGGCUACCUGGACCGGUUCUGACGCUGAGGCGCGAAAGCGUGGGUAGCAAACAGG
rnacentral:rRNA from 1 species